rnacentral:rRNA from 1 species
UGAAGAAUAUUGGGCAAUGGGCGAAAGCCUGACCCAGCAACGCCGCGUGAGGGAAGAAGGUUCUCGGAUUGUAAACCUCUGUCCCAUGGGACGAAACAAAUGACGGUACCAUGGGAGGAAGCCCCGGCUAACUACGUGCCAGCAGCCGCGGUAAUACGUAGGGGGCAAGCGUUGUCCGGAAUUAUUGGGCGUAAAGGGUGCGUAGGCGGCCUUUCAAGUUGGAUGUGAAAUCCCCGUGCUUAACAUGGGAAUUGCAUUCAAAACUGGAGGGCUUGAGUGUGGAAGAGGUAAGUGGAAUUCCCAGUGUAGCGGUGAAAUGCGUAGAUAUUGGGAGGAACACCAGUGGCGAAGGCGACUUACUGGGCCACAACUGACGCUGAUGCACGAAAGCGUGGGGAGCAAACA